rnacentral:rRNA from 1 species
GAGAGCCGGAACACAGGUGCUGCAUGGCUGUCGUCAGCUCGUGUCGUGAGAUGUUGGGUUAAGUCCCGCAACGAGCGCAACCCUUGUCAUUAGUUGCCAUCAUUUGGUUGGGCACUCUAAUGAGACUGCCGGUGACAAACCGGAGGAAGGUGGGGAUGACGUCAAGUCCUCAUGGCCCUUAUGGGUAGGGCUUCACACGUCAUACAAUGGUCGGUACAGAGGGUUGCCAACCCGCGAGGGGGAGCUAAUCCCACAAAGCCGAUCGUAGUCCGGAUCGCAGUCUGCAACUCGACUGCGUGAAGUCGGAAUCGCUAGUAAUCGUGGAUCAGCAUGUCACGGUGAAUACGUUCCCGGGUCUU